rnacentral:piRNA from 1 species
UGAUUGAAGAACCUAUGGACAUUUGAUCA